CAUCUUACCUCAGGGGAGAUACCAUGAUCAGGCAGGUGGUUUUCCCAGAGCGAGGCUCAUCCCCUGCACUCUGGGUGUGCUGAGCCCUGCGAUUUCCCCAAAUGCGGGAAUCUCGACUGCAUAUAUAUUUUUUUUAAUUGUAUUGAAAGUUCUGUAGCUGUAAUUGU
rnacentral:snRNA from 1 species